GGCACAAGGAGCUGGGAGGGGCGGAACCAAGACAGCUGUUCUGAACUGGUCAAAGGGAUGUUCCAUACCAUAUGACAGCAUAUGAAAUGACUAUAAAUCUGAGAGAAGCUGACCAGGGGACAGCUGCUACUCAGGGACUGUCAGGGCAUUGAUUGGAGGCUGGACCCAGAGGAAAUGCAAUUACUGCCACCACCUUCAGAGAAGCCACUUAGUCACUUAAAGUUUUGUUUCUUUUCUUGAGUGGAAGACACAGAGAAAACAUCUGUCUUCAGAAAUUCCAGCUUCCCGUUUCUACUCUCGUUUGUCAAGAAACCCUGCGGGCAACUCCCCAGCAAUCCUUCAUUUCCCCCACCUGGAUUACAAGAUUAAGAUUCAUCUGGGAAGAAAAUAGAGCAUUUUAAUUCUAGACUUGAUGAAAUCAUUAUCUGCAACUGUCAAGACAAAAAUGACUUGAAGACAGAUCAUCUUGUUAUAGAAGACUUGCUUCAGCAGUCUGGAACUUACCACCAAUUUAGUUAUGUCAAUACAUUAAAGUUCCUUUUCAGUCAAGAUGAGGUGUGAAGUAGUAAAAUAGAUAUGUUUAAUCCAAUUUUAAUGAUCACCAAUUUUUAAUUAGUUGCAGAAAUGAACAGCAAAGAAAUAAUGUUAAAUAUUUUAGCUGAGAGGUUUAGGGAUUGAAAUAUUCACUUCAUGACUAAUGGAAAUGUCACUGAAAGCUGUGCUCCAGGGGUACUCCUGGUGAGUUCUGGCUGCUCAUGAGCAUUUGGGAACAGGAUCUGCAGCAGCUCAAAGCAACCCCCUGACCCGCAUGAAGUGUGAGCACAGGUUCUUCAGUUCUCAGUUUAUAACUACAGUGCCCCACUGUGAUGCUAGCUGAUGCAGAGCCCUGCCCAUAUGGCAGUAUGUGCUAGGCAGUCUGUCUUGCUGCUCACUGUGUGUUAUCCCAGCACAGGAAUGGGUGACUGACACUUCACCACAUGUGUUAUGUAAUGUUUCUGUUAUGGUUUCCUUCAGGUACUUGCAAAUGAGAAGGACAGAAAAGGGUUGUGGAAUGAAAUUUGCCUUUCAUAUAUGAAACUCAAGAACACCAGAAUACAGACUUGAUGAUUUAAAAGAUGAAUAUUAAUUAGCAUGAUAGAUAAACUAGCAAGUGUCUUUGGGAAGACAGAGUAGUACUUCUUCAAAAAAUACUGGUCUGUGACCAUCUAUUUAGACAAAGAUUUCAAGAAACCAUGAAUAUGUAGGGCAGCUCUUCUAAAUAAAUGCAUUCCAACAAGGAGCAGAAUACAAUUCUUUCAUUACUUAUGCUCUGUGAGUGAUACCCCAUCUCUACUAUGUCCAGCUGCUGGAGAAAACAAGCCCACUCUUUCAUUGGUAUAGGAAAAUAGGACAUCUGCAUGUAUGCAUACAAAAAAAAAAUCUGUUUAUCUGGACUUAGCAGGCAUGAAUUUUUUAUCUUGUCGCAUGAACUCAUCUAAUAAAAUCUCAAUCAGAGUGAGAUAGGCAGAGGUUAUACUACCUGGGAAGACCACCAGUUCUAGUAUCUUCCACACCCCUUGCCCACGUUUCUAAUCUCGCUAAUGGUAUCGUGACCGUUACAGUAUUGACAGACCUCCGAACUGGAACAGUUUGAAGAGAGACAAAUUCAUACUUUCAGGCACAAGAAAUGCUACUUCUAUUCUGGCUUCACUGGAAGGAGCUCAAAAUGAGUUACACUUGUCCUUUUCCAUUAAGCAUUCCUCUGCUUAGUAGCAUAAAUGUAAUUAACAUUGUGGGCCUCAUGACUCUUUUUAACUGGAUUAGAUCUCAUGACUCACUUGGGCAUUAUCUGAAGAAAGUCUCCCUGUACAAAAUGACUCAAUCACUAAAAUUGCUAUCUGGCAACAUGCCAAGUUAUUAGUAUCCAAAGAGGUAGCACUUAAUCUGAUUCAGGGACCUCUUUCAUAUUUUUUAAACAUAUGCACAAACCUAUUCCAAAGCUCUUCCCCUCCAAAAAAAGAAGUCAAGAUUUUAUUUUAGGUACACUCUAUACUCUUAGACAUCUUACAACAUUAUUGAUCCUUUUAAAGUAAUUGCAUUUAAUUCUGAAACCACUGCAAAAUUUCAGAUGAAGAAAUAGUGCAAACAAAUCGGGAAAAAGUUCAGGGCCAUGAGAAGGUCACUGAGCACUGGGAUUGGAUACUACUGACAGUUUCACUGGUUUAGCUGUUUUCUCAUUUAUCCUCUUCUGAUCUCAGGAUUGAGUAAAAAAAUUGGGUCAGGCUAAACUUCCAUUACCUUAUCUCCUCCAUCAUAUUUCCUAGCUAAUACUUGGGGAAAUGUAAUGGGAACCUUUCCUGUAGCAUGGUCAUCCAUAUUCUGAGCAUAGGUAGUAGUGGGUUGUCUUGGCCUGAAGGUUGCUUGUAUUUAAAAUCUCAAAGAUUAGUCGACCCUAAAUUGAUACAACUAUUUUUUAUUCCAUUUUAAACUUCCACGGCAUUCAAAAUAUACUUACACUCUGUAUCAAAAAGAAACAUGUAUCUUGGUUUGAAACCUCCUGUCUGAAUAUUUAAUGAGUUCUUUUGUUGCAAGAAAUAGAAAAUAAUUGUUUGCUCUUUGGUUUUCCAUGUUUUUCAUUAUUUUUUGACCUCUCAGACCCACCUUAUCCCCAAAGAUCCAUUUUUCAGUCUAAAGAACCACAGCGUAUCUAGUCUACCUCUAUAGAGUGAAUGGCCAGCAUGCCAUCUAGUCUGCAGUGCUAGGCUAUAGCUGCUUCAGAAACCUUGGAGCUCUCCGGACAAAAACUUGUCUUCCACUGAGAAGAGAAAAUAAUAUAUUCCUAAAAUAAGUCAUU